AAAUUUGUUGAAUGCUAUAUUUAUGUAGUACACUCUUCAAAUUUGUAAAAAAUAAAUUAUAACAAUAGCAUCGAUAUCAAUAAUAAAUCGAAAAUAAUAGUAAUUAGUUGAAACCUCGAUUAAAAAUACGAUAUAGUUUGUACACUUGUAAAGUACAUUAAAAAUUUUUGAAUUAAAAACAUUCACCUGUUUUUCAAAAAUAAAGUCUCUUGAAGGAAUUUAUAAACGGACUCACAAACACAGAAUCAACUACUGUAAAGUUAAUUUGUAGAUGAAUAAAUAAAUGAAAACUGCGUAUCUCAAAUUUCAAUUUUCGCCAAAAAUCGCAUGUAAUCAUGCAAAACAAACGAAUUUUUUAAGCGGGACGAAACGAUUAAGCUAUAAAAAAAGUGGCAUCUUUUGUAAUAACGUGGACUAUGCAUAGGGUCAAUUUAUCAACAAGAAAAAAAUUUUUUUUCUGUCAAACUCAAACCCAAACAGGGUAAAUAACCAAGUUUUCUUAAAAAUCCUUAACUCCAUAAUCUCUAUCGUAGCCCUCAGAAACCAGUAUUUACACACCCUCCUGCACAAUAGCGUAAGAUAGUAAUAAGAAAGUAUGGCAAGUCAUCUUAACGAGAUGCGAUAUUAUUAGAUAAAACACUCAAUCUAGCAAGCGAAAUAUCGGAUCUCAACUGGUAUGGUAAUUUAUCAAGGAAUUUGGGCAUAUUGCUUAAGUAAAUUUAGACGACUGUACGUAACAAACCGGGGAAUGUACGCGAAGUAGAAAAGAUACGAAAAAUGUCUGAUCACAAGAUUUUUUUGUUCAUCAGUAGUCCGGACAUUUCGAUUUGCAAUGUUAAGCGAUAUCCGUUUGUGAAACCAUGCGAAAAUCCAUUCCAAAAAUCUAUGCGACGAACACUUUGUGAGUCAUAUUGACUGUUGAAAGUAGUGUACUGCUGCACACAAUGUUCGUUGUCAUUCUAUGCUAGUUAUUGAGAUAUGUUGGUCAACUUUGGCAUAAAAAAAUUUUCAGUUCAGACUAAAGGAGAUAUCUUAACUCCCUAUUAUAGGCCAUAGCACUCAGGACAAGCGAUUAUAUUUUUUUAUCAGUUAUAAGUUAAGCGACAUUGAUAAGUAUCUAACAGUAAGGUUAGUAGAGUAAGGGAAUUUUAUGUCAGAAAAAAAGCACUUGAUUGCUCAUAGAUAUCUAAAGAGGCAACAGAUAUUUAAAAAAGAAAAUUUUCGGUCAAUUACUUGGUAUAAAUGAAGCUCAAUUCCUUUCAUUUUGAAACCAGAUUAGGAUUUGGUGUUUUCAUUGCUAAUUUUAUUUUAUUUUUUUAUUUCCUUUUCAUUUUACCUCGAAAUUAGGAAAAUAAGUUGUGCUUUGUGAGCAAAAGCAAGACCAAUUAAUCAAUCGUUUGGAAAGAAUCGCUCUAUAAUAAAGGGAUUUGAUUAUUUAUUGUUAUCGGUUUCUUAAAUACUUCCUCAUUUUCAUUAUC